rnacentral:rRNA from 1 species
CCUACGGGAGGCAGCAGUGGGGGAUAUUGCACAAUGGGGGAAACCCUGAUGCAGCGACGCCGCGUGGGUGAAGAAGCGCCUCGGCGCGUAAAGCCCUGUCAGCAGGGAAGAAAAUGACGGUACCUGAAGAAGAAGCCCCGGCUAACUACGUGCCAGCAGCCGCGGUAAUACGUAGGGGGCAAGCGUUAUCCGGAUUUACUGGGUGUAAAGGGGGCGCAGACGGCGAUGCAAGCCAGGAGUGAAAGCCCGGGGCCCAACCCCGGGACUGCUCGUGGAACUGCGUGGCUAGAGUGCAGGAGAGGCAGGCGGAAUGCCUGGUGUAGCGGUGAAAUGCGUAGAUAUCAGGAGGAACACCGGUGGCGAAGGCGGCCUGCUGGACUGCAACUGACGUUGAGGCCCGAAAGCGUGGGGAGCAAACAGGAUUAGAUACCCUUGUAGUC